UUUUAUGCGAAGCAUAUUACGAGGGCUCAACCCAGCUCCUCAGGCGCGGCGGUGACCAUGAAAUCACGUGACACCGUGACGUCACGACAGAGGAGAAGUGGCUUUGGCUCAACUCUUGCAAGACGGGCUGGGUGGGAAUCGAACCAGGGUCUCCGGAGUGUGGGACGGAGACGCUACCACUGAGCCACGAGUACAACGCUUCAAAGCGGUACAAAAGCGCCUCUAGUGAAUGCGGUGUUGCCUUAGAAACGCGCUGUUUCUAAGGGCCCGUACAUGGUCAGUCCGCCCGUCCGUUCCGCCCGCUUCCGCCCGCGUGCGUAUGGCUCUCUACUGGUGAGCGAGGAGCGGACGCAAGUUUCCCGUCCGGCCGCCUGCUCGUCUCUCAUUGGCUGGUCCGAGGCGGAUGGUUCGGCUGUCGUCACAGCAAACAUGGCGCGUGCUCGAAGCGACGGGAAGCGGGGACGUAAGGCCUAAGCUACAGCCGCGUCAGAAACAGUCUAUUUUUUCUCCUUUUUGUGAUUUUUACUGAAGUUAUCUGGCACCCACGGAGAUAGUAAUCGAAAGCAGCAAGCCGGUGUACCCUUCCAGACCUCAUCAGUGCGUGCGAUCGCCAACAGAAACAGACGGAGCGCAGGAAGUGUGUGUUGUGUUUACGAGAGCGUCGGAAGAAAUAUUUGAAGCCGUCGACUUCGUGAUUUCUUGUGCCAUGCUUCGCGUGUGCGUCGCAGACGACAACUCCAUCACAUACACCUGCAUUCUGAGCAGCACACACGUUCAAGGCGUAGCGAAAUAAGUAGCGUCCGACUGGCGCACCCAGUGUACACGUUUGGUUUCUGCUCUGUGUAUGCGGAUCGUUGCACGAAGUGGUGAACGCCAGCUCUUCGCAACUUUCAGAAGUAAUGAUACGAUCAGUAGCGAUAAGUUUUUAUCGCCUCGUUAUCGCUGCCAUUCUGCGUGUGCUAUACUGCGUGAGAGCCGUUUUGCCGGCUGCGAUGCGCCGUGGUGACCGCGACGUCCGAGCUGUGUUCUUGCUGUUAUGAAGUGUGUUUCUAUACUGCGUGUGAGCCGUUUUGCCGGUUGCGACGCGUCGAGGUGACCGCGACGUCCGAGCUGUGUUCUUGCUGUUAUGAAGUGUGUUUCUAUACUGCGUGUGAGCCGUUUUGCCGGUUGCGACGCGUCGAGGUGACCGCGACGUUCGAGCUGUGUUCUUGCUGUUAUGAAGUGCGUUUGCAAGCUACAAACCGUGAUAUAUAUGUGCGAUGUGUCGCAGCGUUGCGGGGUGUAGAAGUGCUCGUUCUACGCGAUGUGCGUUUGCUCAGAAGUGAGCUGUGCAGAAGUGUUGCCGAUCGCGUUUUCAUAUUUAGUACCCUUACAGAUAAGCCCUAUCACACCGGCCUUUUCUGCUUCGUACAUCUAUCGUUUCUUUCAAAAGUUGUUACUGCACGGUUGGAGAUGCUUAUAUCGGUGGGGGGAAAUUAGGGAACAUCAUAAUAAUUGCAUACGUCAAGACGUUCAGCGCUUUCGUGAAAUGUGGACGCCCCUGAGAGCACUAAUGUCAUGAAUGCAAAUUUCUGGCAGCCUUGAUUUUCAUAAUGUGGACACUAGUGUGAAGAUCAAGAAUUUCUAGAUUUCACGAAGUAAAUUGCUUUAUAUUUUGUGAUGCAAGUGGCUUACAUAGCCAAAAAUCUGAGCUGCUUGUUUUUGACUAGUGACUAAGCACAGAGUCUGUUUGUGAAGACACUAGUGGCAUGGUAGAUGAAUAUGUUAUAGGUAGGAACUGGAUACUACUUCUUAUUAACUAAAAAUUUUGCGCUUGCUGACAAAAAGCAAUAUGAAUGCAAAAAUGAACACGUAGGACGAGUAGUAACAAGUAAGUGUCACAGGUGUGGUGUUAUAUAACAUUUUGCUAGCAGCCAGCAGAACUGCGUGAAAUAAAUUUUGCCCAGAGUUCUUCCUCACUGGCCAGCCACGGUCACCUUACUAAUGCAGGCAGAAUUCGGUAAGCAAAAGUUUGUGGUUACUUUGUUUAUCCACUCUAUUUGAUUAUCUGGUUCGUGGCGCCUGUUUUGGCACGAGCCUUCAGUUUAAAGCUAACAAUAGCACAAGUACCAGCAUUGUAUGCCUGACAGGUGCUUUAUUUUCUUUCCUCAUGUUCAUUCUGCCAACAGUCAUUAGCAAAUAAUGUGCAUUAAACUGACUUGGGCCUGUAAAGUUGGGCCUGUAAAGUAUGUCCAUUAAAUGUUUUUCCAGUGCACUUUCAUCUGCCAGUAAGUUUACUGCUACCUAUCAUUCGUGGGUGCGGGAUGUUGGACGCUAUAAGUGGCUAUCUGACUGAUCUUCAUUUUGAAUAGGCCACAGUUCCACUCACUAACUGAACCGUUUUCAGCUGCACUGCCAGACUAUAGAAAGGGGGACCUCGCCUCUUGUCAUUCUUUAGCAUGCUCAUGGCCACAGUGCGUUGUCCCUGAGAAGUCAGCUGCUAUCACAAUUUAAAAAGUGCCUAUUGGCUGCUAUGAGUUUAUCCUGAGCACGAAUUUUCACAGUUAUGUAAGCAUUAGUUAUGUGACCGAAGCCAGCCAAUGAGCACGAACUGCUGGCAAAAUUUUGAAGUGACUCUACAGGCAGAGUGUCUGCUCCCUAUAUUAUGUUAGCCACACUGCUUUGUCAGUGUGCUGAAUUGUUCUUUUUUUACAGAAAUUUACUACCCAGCCAGAAAAGAUAUUGCCAGACCAUGAAUUUUAGGCCUGUACACAUGGUCACUUCUUUAUUUUAUGAUAUUCUGGACAUGACACCCAAGUCUAGCUUAGAUUAGCAACAUCAGCUUAACUUAUGCAUGGAGUUGAGUUGCUUCCUGUGAGAAAAAAAGUCAUUGCAUUGCUAAUAGGAAUUAGACUGGUACAAAAAAUUAUUUGUCUUUAUGGCUUGUAGUAUAAGUGGUGCUGUUCAUUUGAUGCACACAGUAACACGUGAACACAAAUGUAUGUGUACCUUGCAUUUAUGUGCAUGUGUGUGUGAAUAAAACAGCACAACUUCUAAUAUCAAGGCACGUUGUACCAACUAUACCCAUUAAAGAUGUUCUAUGUGGCAUUCAGCCGAUCUUAUUGAAAUUUUAUCACAUGGUGCAGUUACAACAUUUCAUACCUGUAUGUAAACCAAUUUAAUAACUGUAUUCACUGCAUGUGAGAAUGCAUAUUUUAGGCCAAUGCAGUGCCUGGGGUACCAACGUUUUAGUUAGCUUUGCCACAGCUUAUUAGAGGGAUCUUGUUGAUUAUGCCAUCCAAACAACUCGUAUAAAGGUUUGUGUUUAGUAUACCAGCAGUGAAAUACUGAAUGCAGCUGCAAUUCUUUGUAUACUAGUGAGAUUAAUUCCACUGCUCAUUGUUCUGUAACAUGUUCUUCAGUCACACUUGUUGACAGUAUUUGGCGUCAUGAGUUCUAGACUAAUUUUCACAUGGGCCUUUCGAUGAAGUCAAAUCUGCCUCUUCAACAGUCAGUUUAGUGGAAAGCCACCACUGAACCAAUAGCUCAAAGACCAAUUCCUGCAUGCUUUUUGCCAAUUGGGUAGUGCGCGGAAACUAUGUGUGAUACAUCACUUCAGCAGAGGAACAUGAUGCACGUAUGUAACAGUUACUCAUCCCUUGAAAUGUGAAUGAUCCAAACCUUUGCGAGCAUAUCAGUCACAACCAUCCAGCAGCACAAGUGGGAACACUUGUGCUAUCACAAGCGAAAACAAGUACAAUAGUACUGCCGUCUCAGCUGGUUUGUCGUGAUUACUUUGCCUGCAAGUUCCUUGUUUAUAUUGGAUAGGCUUCCUACUUUAUAAAUUAACAGCUUUCACAACAUUUACUGUGCUAAUGAAGGCACAGCACAGAUACCAGUACUGAAGGAGGUAUAUACAAGUAGGGCAGAGAACUUGUGGGUAAGCUCAAAAAUAAACGGGUAAAACUAUGUCGAACAAACCAUUUUCACAUUAGAAGAUAUGUCAUCGGCAAUUAAUGCACAUGCAAUAAGUGCCCUGUGUGGGAGAUUGAGACCUGUGAUGCCAAACACCUGUUUGCCUUUUAAAUAUUGACAAAGAAAAAUUCCAGUCUGUACUUCUGUGUCGGAGGGUACAAUAUCAAAGGAGAGGUGCAAAACGGAUUUUGCAUGUAGUAGUCCCUUAUGAAUGUGCUACUCAAGUUGUGCCAAGCAUAGCCAUCUGUGUGCAAAGCAUUGGACAAGGUACCAUAUGUAUGUCUGACACAUUAAAAAUCUUUUGCAUUGAA